GGAAGGGUGGCUCAGUGGUAGAGCACACCGGGUCCGCCGGUGAAUUUGGCUUCGCGUGGUUCGACUCCCGCCCCUUCCA
rnacentral:tRNA from 1 species